rnacentral:rRNA from 1 species
GCAAGUCGAACGGAAAGGCUCCUGCUUGCAGGGGUACUCGAGUGGCGAACGGGUGAGUAACACGUGGGUGAUCUGCCUUGUACUUCGGGAUAAGCCUGGGAAACUGGGUCUAAUACCGGAUAGGACCAUGCUUUAGUGUGUGUGGUGGAAAGUUUUUUCGGUACAAGAUGAGCCCGCGGCCUAUCAGCUUGUUGGUGGGGUAAUGGCCUACCAAGGCGACGACGGGUAGCCGGCCUGAGAGGGUGUACGGCCACAUUGGGACUGAGACACGGCCCAGACUCCUACGGGAGGCAGCAGUGGGGAAUAUUGCACAAUGGGCGCAAGCCUGAUGCAGCGACGCCGCGUGAGGGAUGACGGCCUUCGGGUUGUAAACCUCUUUCGCUAGGGAAGAAGCCAUUUGUGGUGACGGUACCUGGAUAAGAAGCACCGGCUAACUACGUGCCAGCAGCCGCGGUAAUACGUAGGGUGCAAGCGUUGUCCGGAAUUACUGGGCGUAAAGAGCUCGUAGGUGGUUUGUCGCGUCGUCUGUGAAAUCCCGGGG